UACGUAGGGGGCAAGCGUUGUCCGGAAUCAUUGGGCGUAAAGCGCGCGUAGGCGGCCCGGUAAGUCCGCUGUAAAAGUCCAGGGCUUAACCCUGGAAAGCGGGUGGAUACUGCCGGGCUUGAAUCCGGAAGAGGCGAGUGGAAUUCCUGGUGUAGCGGUGGAAUGCGCAGAUAUCAGGAGGAACACCAAUAGCGAAGGCAGCUCGCUGGGACGGUAUUGACGCUAAGGCGCGAAAGCGUGGGGAGCAAACAGG
rnacentral:rRNA from 1 species